GGGCCGCCGCAGGGCGGCCAUCUUGGCCCCACAGGGCGCGCCGGGAUCGUUGCCAUGGGAACCGGGCGCCCCUGAGCGGAGCCGCUGCCGCCCGCCGGCCUGGAGCCCAGCGGCUCCCCCCCGCCCCCUGCAGUCAGGGGAGGAGGAAAGAGACCCUAGGCUAGAAACCGGGGCGCUGCAGUCACCUGACUCCAGGAGCUGGGGCUUGGGGGCAUCGCGGUAGCGAUCCGCGCCCCUUUGGCCCCAGGCCGGGCUCGCUGCAGCGAGCAGGCGGAUUGAUGUCUCUCCCACUUCCACCAGACUGGUGCCAGCAGAGAAAAGUGAUAAUCCCAAAUCCAAGAUGGAAAUAGGAAGUGGACUGGACACCUGCAAUGCCCAUAUGAUUUCCAGGAUCUCUUUAACAGAACUUUCUUAAUGGGGAAGGACGUAUAGCAAGGGCUGCCUGAGACAGAGAGAUGAGCUGGAAGACCUCAGUGGUCAGCCUUGGUGACACCACGGUGAGGUCUGCACUCAGCAGGGAACAGAAUGAGGUGUCAGCUUCUAGUAUCUCAGUUCAUGGUG